rnacentral:lncRNA from 1 species
UUUUCUUUAUUUUUAUUUACUUUUCCAUCCUUUUAAUUUUUUCUCUCAUCGUCUCUUUUAUACAAAUCAGGGACAUGUUGCAUCACAUUGGCAAAUGCAUAUGAUCUCUCGCUGCUAAAUAAAGAGAAAAUAAAGAUACCCACCUUGUUAUAAAAACAAAAAGAAGGCAGUCCUCGACAGUCAACAUGAAUACUGAACACUGAGUGAGUUCAUUUAACCUUUGCUACUUUGAGAGUAUUAUGAGCUUAAAAGCAGAGAAUGAGAAAAAAAAAAAAAAAAGAAGAUUUAAUUUCUUGAUUAUCUUCUGUGUAUAUAUAUGUAUUCAACUGAUGAAUCAGAAGAAUGGAACUACCUUGUCUUUUUCAUGGCUGGUCAAUGUUAAACAUUUUCUUCUUCUUUUUCUCUUCCUUUUAUGAAUAUCCCAAAGGGGAUUUGCAUGCAUGAUAGUGUUGCUGAGAGAGAGAGACCAUAAAGAGGAUUUUAUAAAGAUGAUGCUUUUGUUAAAGACAUGGAUUUUAGUGUUAAAGAGUAACCAUAGAGAUGAAUCAUGGAAGAAAAAGGGUACAGAAGAAAGUGAUAUAUACAUGUGCAUGUAUAAGAGUUGCAAGUGCAUUGCAUGAAAGUGUGUGAUUACUCACAAUGCCUAUGUAUGUGUUUCUUUAAAGACACGCUGCUUUUCCAAGCAUUUCUAGUCUCAAAAAUUUUAUAACACAUUUUAAAAGUUCAACAAUCACACAAUCUAAAAAAUAAAUAUAAAAAAAAAUUAAAACAUGAAUAUAUUUUAAUAAUACAAUACGAGGUUCUCACAUUUAAAAAAUAAAAUUUACAAUAAUUGUGUAAACUUUUUUUUGAAGAAAAAGAGUUUCUCUUUUUUUAUUUUUUCUUUUUUGUCUGCUAAUGACACGUAAUGACUUUCCUGCUCUCUGUUAUGUAGGUAUAUACGUCAGACGUCCUCUCCACGCCAGAUAGCCAUUUAAUUUCUCUCGGCACACGCGAGAACAGAGCUGCGAAGUAACUAAAUUUAUUGUCCCUUCUACGUCAUAUCACCGAACUGAACCUGUAAUGAGUGGAUCUGAAUUUGUGAUUGAUUCAAUAUGCUCUGUGGGCCUAAAUCGAGACUUUGGACCGAAAUUAUUUUUUAAGGCCCGGUCUAAUGAAACCUAGCGAUCGUACAAUCCAUCCGAAAUGAUUUUGUUAUGAACAUUGGUUAUAAUAAUUUUAUAUAAUCUCAUCGUAAUCAUUAAUUAAUAUUUGAUGAUUGUAAUAUAAUUGUAUUAAAUCAUUUUUUUUAUAUCUCAGCUUUAUAAUAUUACUCCCAAAAUACAACCUUAUUUUUAUUUAAUUUUUAAUUAUUGAUCCCC